GCUCCCAGUGCAUGUCGUCUGUUGACACAUUUUGAGACGGAGGGCACUCAUCCCCUCUGAGAGCUGCUCGGCGUUGACGAUUGGUUCUCUCCCUCAAAUGCACAUGAUAGAAACCCGCAUGGAUUUUGCCAUCAACAUGGACAUAUUGAAUCUGACUCACUCCAAGUCAACCCAGUUUCCGGUCUUUCAUGGAAUAUUCGGUCCAGGCGGUGCCCCGCCUCCCGAGGACCAAGAUGUCCGUCUUCAAGGAAAAUACCAGGUAUAUGCUUCACAACCUGCGGGUUACACUUAGGGGCCCAACCCGGUUAAUUGACCGGUGCCUAUUCGCCAUGGAAGCCAUACCUCAAGGAUCCGGUACUAUCAGCCGCUCCAACAUGGCGCUUUCUCGGGUCUUUGGCCUGGUAUGACCAAAUCAUGUGACCUUCGGAUGAAGCUCAUCUAAGAAUUAAUUGAUGACUCCGGAGGAGGGACUCCUUUACGCCAACUGCAUGGAACUACCUGCAGGUUUGUUCAACAUUCACAGUAUUGCUCGCUACCUUCCGGCAUGGACUUCUCACCGGUUGUCCACUACGGACUGCAGUCGGAUCUCACAUAGGAUCGCUAUCUAUAGCUUCUGGACAAGUAUUCGUCAUUUGUGACAGAAUGUAUGCGGGACGAGACACUUGUGUGGCGGACGGCUUCACCCGGCCAUGGAGAGACCCCAAUGAUUGGUUGCCUCACCCUCCAGGGUCUCGAGUACUGGCAUGAUUACAUUCGGUGCGAACCGCCAUAUGGAGCGGUUCUCCAACUGGCUGCCGG